rnacentral:rRNA from 1 species
GAUGAACGCUAGCGACAGGCUUAACACAUGCAAGUCGAGGGGCAGCAGGGGAGUAGCAAUACAACUGGUGGCGACAGGCGCACGUGUGAGUCACGCGUUUGCAACCUACGUAUCAGAGGGGAAUAACCCGGCGAAAGUCGUACUAAUACCGCAUAUAACAGGGUCACCGCUAGGUGAUAGUCGUUAAAGAAAUUCGAGUAUUGUUGGACAUGCGUUCCAUUAGGUAGUUGGUGAGGUUACGGAGCACCAAGCCGACGAUGGAUAGGGGAACUGAGAAGUUGGUCCCCCACACUGGUACUGAGACACGGACCAGAAUCCUACGGGAGGCAGCAGUGAGGAAUAUUGGUCAAUGGGCGGGAGCCUGAACCAGCCAAGUCGCGUGAAGGAAGAAGGAUCUAUGGUUCGUAAACUUCUUUUGCAGGGGAAUAAAGUGCAGGACGUGUCCUGUUUUGUAUGUACCCUGAGAAUAAGGAUCGGCUAACUCCGUGCCAGCAGCCGCAGUAAUAC